rnacentral:misc_RNA from 1 species
AAGUCGUAACAAGGUAUCCGUAGGUGAACCUGCGGAUGGAUCAUUAACACUUUCCAAAAACAACUGAGUUCUACACCAUGGCUAGCGUCAUUGUUGUAGGCUUGGUUUUCAAACCCAAAUCAGCGAACUUGUCAACGGCAUAGCAUGUUUGUUUGAUUGUUUCAAACAAACAAACAAACACAAAGUUAUGUCCGUUCGUUUUCUCCUUGUCAAUUUUACUUUUAUUAUUCAACACUCUUUUUUUCUUUUCCUUCAUUGGAUGGAAAAAAGCAGCGUCAAACGAAAUAACUUGACUAAGAAGAAAAAAAAUCCCACGUUUAAUGAACAUUAAAUGAGGGAAAAAGAAAAAAAUAAACAAAAAAAUACAACUCUUAACAACGGAUAUCUUGGCUCUC